GACGAACGCUGGCGGCGUGCCUAAUGCAUGCAAGUCGAGCGGACGGAUGGGAGCUUGCUCCCAGACCGUCAGCGGCGGCCGGGUGAGUAACACGUGGGCAACCUGCCUGUAAGACUGGGAUAACUCCGGGAAACCGGGGCUAAUACCGGAUAACUCUUUCCCUCACAUGAGGGAAAGCUGAAAGAUGGCAUCUCGCUAUCACUUACAGAUGGGCCCGCGGCGCAUUAGCUAGUUGGUGAGGUAACGGCUCACCAAGGCGACGAUGCGUAGCCGACCUGAGAGGGUGAUCGGCCACACUGGGACUGAGACACGGCCCAGACUCCUACGGGAGGCAGCAGUAGGGAAUCUUCCGCAAUGGACGAAAGUCUGACGGAGCAACGCCGCGUGAGUGAUGAAGGUGUUCGGAUCGUAAAACUCUGUUGUCAGGGAAGAACAAGUACCGGAGUAACUGCCGGUACCUUGACGGUACCUGACCAGAAAGCCACGGCUAACUACGUG
rnacentral:rRNA from 1 species